UAUUCCCCACUGCUGCCUCCCGUAGGAGUCUGGACCGUGUCUCAGUUCCAAUGUGGCCGUUCAUCCUCUCAGACCGGCUACUGAUCGUCGCCUUGGUAGGCCGUUACCCCACCAACUAGCUAAUCAGACGCAGACCCAUCACAAAGCGAUAGCUUACAAGUAGAGGCCAUCUUUAAUCAGUCUCCCAUGCGAGAAACUGACAACAUUCGGUAUUAGCAGUCCUUUCGGACUGUUGUCCCCAUCUUUGCGGCAGGUUGUCUACGCGUUACUCACCCGUUUGCCACUCGACUUUCAAAAGCAAGCUUUCAAUCGUCUCGUUCGACUUGCAUGUGUUAAGCACGCCGCCAGCGUUCAUCCUGAGCCAA
rnacentral:rRNA from 1 species